UUUAUAUAAAUUACAACUCUGAUUAACCCAUGUCUUAGUAAACAUUCAAAAACGGCCUAAAAAUGUGUAUUUAUAACAAGUUAAUUUCGACAGUAUUUUUAAACUAUGGAACGCCAUUAUCACUUUAAUUAUGACGAAUUACGUAAAAUAAAUUCUGAAUACUUUAAUCAUGUUUUAUUGUUAAAUGUGUAUUCAAGGUUGUUUUUUUGUAUUUUUAAAUAGUUUUAUUAAAAUUGUUUUACAUAUAUAAUGUAUGUAAUGUUAUUAUUAUUUCAGGGGUACCGCUUUGAGGUAGUCUUCAUUGAUGUAUGCUUGAUUUUGAAAAUAAAAAAAAAAAUCUAGUAAACUAUAUGUACACUAAAUGAAUUUCAUCAACACACCAGAGCCAAUGGGUAUGCCCGAUCAUGUGUUCUGAGGACACUGUGAUGUAUACGAGUUAAAGAUGAACUCCUGUCGGAUUUGUUAACGGCUGUUUGAUGAUCAUACAAAGACAGUUAAAGGCAACGAAAAGGAAUGCAAGGGAAUAAAUGCUGCCAGUGAGAAAUAAAAUGACAGUUUAGAACUUGAAUCGGAAUAAUAUAUUCACAUUGAGUGUAGAAAGAUGUACUGUAACCCACAUUACACUAAAAGAGAUACUAAGACAGAAAAAGAAAACACUGAUGCCACCAUUGAGAUCAAUGACUGAUAAGUUUUCAUACAAAAAAGAUUGUUUAUAUUGUGGUCAAUCUUUAAUAAGUAAGGGUAAAACAAGGAAGUGUGAUGUUUCGCCAGUAAGGACACUAGAACCUACUGUUUUAAAUAUGUAUACAGAGGAAUGACUGUUUGUCUGAUACAAUGAGAGCAAGGAUAGAACAGCUUCACGACUUGCUUGUAGUCGAUGCUCUUUACCAUCAAACAUGUUUAUGCUCCUCUAAUUUCAGAACUGGAAAAGAUAUACCAGAAGAAUUUCAGGUGCUACCAUCUAGUGAUAAAAAGUGAAAGAUUGGUCGACCAGAAAUUACAGAAGCGAGUGACGCUUUGUAAAAGUCAUGACAUUCUUGUGCUUAUGCUUAGCGAAGAUAUUUUACAAACUAAAAUUUGCAAAUAUUUUUUUUUUACAUUUUAUGCUCAAAUGUAUCAAUUAUUUGAAAUUGACCUUCCAAAAGGUCAAUGUCACCUCGUUUGACCCAAUGUCAUGAUGUUAUAUAAUGACUCAGAAAAAAAUACAACAGAUGUGCUUGAAAGUUUUCAAGUUAAUAUAAAACUCAAUAUUAUUAUCAUAGAUAAUAUAGAUUUCUUUAAUGUUUCUUUAUUUUGUAUAAAAUUACCCCACCCACUAGCUGUACAAUGUUAAUACAAAUAUUUCAAUAUAUGCAU